CCCAAGGCUGCCGCCGUUGGGCUAGUUUAUGGCAUGCCUUCGGCAUU
rfam:Lentisphaera araneosa HTCC2155 1101329224533, whole genome shotgun sequence.